UUACCCCAAUUCUAAAUCCAAUAAUUCCAAGGCCCACCAAUACAGUAACCCAUUAUCACAAUUCCCACUUAAUUCAUUCCCAACAAAAGACCUCAGCAUAUGCUAUCAGAUACGCACAUACACCAUACAAUUUAUACCAGUGAACCCGCGUACACACGCACAUACGCGUCGUCUUCUCCCUCAAUUUUUCGGACAAACAUCGCAAAUUCACCGCUCAAAUGUUCUUCUCGAAUUCGGAGUUCUACUUCACUGGAUUCGGCUUAUAGGUGGUGGUGGAGUCGCUUCGAAGUCCGCUGCAAUCAAAAAGGGCAAUAUUAAAAAUAAACUUAAAGCCUUCUUUUUAUUCCUAACUUUUUUUUCGUGCUUAAGGUCAUUUUGUUUACAUGAAAAUUACUUUUACAUUCCUUAUAUUUUAACUAAAUUCUCAAAUUAUCCUUUUAACUAAAUUUUCAAACUAUUCUUUUAAUUCUAAAAUUCACAUCAUUUUCCUCAUUUAACCAUUUUUAUCCAAACACUCAAUUGCUUAUUUAUAAAAAUAACUUUCAGCACUUCAAAGUUCUAAAAUCACUUUAUACAUAAAAGUUAUUUUUUUUAAACCCAUUCAAACGGGUAUGUUAGUUAUUUGAUUGUAACAGCUUACGUCUCUUUUUAGUAUAAAGUAUGUUCAUAAUCUGUAGAAUAGUUAAAUAAAUUGAAUGCCUCUGUCGUUUUUUUUUUUUUUUUAAACUUUAUGGCUUUAGUUGUGUACCACAUUUGAAUCUUAACAAUUAUCUUCUUUUUGAAUAUAAGUUAAUUUAAAUUUAUACGACUUCUAUUUAAGUGUGUCUAGUAUUGUAUUGGUAAAUUUUGCAUGAUAAACUGGGUUAGAUUAGUAAUUAUCUAGAAAUUUUCUUUUUCUCAUUUUAAAAUCUUAGUUAUUGUUCUUAUUUGAAGUAUAAGGAAAAUGACUUGUUCCUCCUCCUAUAUUUUAGAAAUUUCCGUUGGUCUUCUUUGUUGUAAAAUGAAUCUCAAAAAAAUUGAUUUCUUGUCAUUAUAUAUAUGUGAGUGUUGGUUUUGAUCUUUCUCUAAAUUAACUAUUGAAUACAUGUGUAAUUUAUGUGUACUGUAGCUCCUGUUUCAACUCUUUCAUUGCUAAAGUUGCAUCAAAAUAAACUCAUUCCCAUUCCUAUUUUUUCAUAGUAGGCCAGUAGGAUGUUUGAUGGGGUUCACUCUAUGACUAUCAUUUUGAAGCCUUCGUUAAACGAUUUUUCUUAUUCUUUUGGUUUGCCUUUCAAUUUAUAUCAUUUGUGAGAAUAUAGUUUAGUGUUAAUUUUGUUUUGGCCUCUAUCUGUCGUGUGAGUUCACAUUUAUCCAUGUUUAAACAAAAAAUUGAUAAGUCUAAACUCAUUUUUUUAAUAUACAUAUAUAUAGAAAAAUAUCAGUUAUGAUGUGUGCUAGUUGAAAGUCAUCAUUUUAGUGUUAAUGCGUGUUUGUUAAUGAUCCGGAGCAUUAAGUUUCCUUUAAUUCAUGGUAAUAUUUCGCUUGAUCUCAUUACCUAUGAUAUGAAUUGAGUAUUAAUCCUUAUUAUUAUUUUUUCUUGCAUGGACUCCCUCGGUUUGAGUCCGUUGGACUCUCUUUUUUCUCCUGCGCAUCUCGGGUUAUUUAAAAACCCAAAUAUCAAGUCAACCUCGUCAAUGGAAGCUGAUGAACAGAUUUUGAAAGCUGAAAAGGGAUCUCGGAAGUCUAAAAUGGGAUGUAUACAGUGUUGUAUACACCUAGUAUAAUGUGGAAAACAGGCGAUAUACAUUGAUAUACAGUUGGUGUAUACAACAGCAAACUGGGAAGGAUAAAAAUGGGCCUAUUAGCCCAAUAAUCUGAACUUGGGCAGGAGCCCAAAUUUAUUCUUUCCUCUAUUUUUAUAUUCUUUGAUUGUAAUUUACUUGUCUAAUUUUAUUCUAUUUUAACUUAGUUAAUUUCUCCAAAAGAAGAACUAAUUUCUUU